UGUACUUUGUGUUUAGUUCUAAUUAGCAAAUGUUAGCAUGCUAACAUGUUAAACUACACAACAACAACAACCACCACCACCUCACUUGGCCGAGGUUGCUUUUGGAAAACAUAAACCCAGGCACACAGUGGAUAACAGCCAUGAACUUCAUGUUUCAGGCAGAUAUCACAUACACACAUCUGGAGGCUGUAACCAACCUUCUUGUACUAUCGACAAAUGAGCAGUUUGGGGACAAAGUGCCUUGCUCAAGGGUACACCAGCAAAGUUUGGUGAGUGUGAGAAGAGAGUUACACAUACAUCUUUCUCAACCUCAUUUUGACAGCAAGUCUGAGGAGUCACACUCACUUCUCUAACCUCAGAGCAGCUGGGCAUCAUGGACUCCCUGCCCUCAGAUUGGGAAACACCAGAGAAAAUGUCCAUUCUGGCUUUAUUCACAUCAUCUGUUAGAGGUUCCAGAGGUGGAGAAAUUGUGUCUGAAUUGAUUGGCUAACCAACACUGACACCUAGUGGUUAAUCAAGGCAAAAUAAUUAGAAAAGACCUCAGGCAUUUCAAGGGGAAAGUUUAUUUAUAUUUCAUCUCAAAUGGUUUUAGUUCAUUUAUAUUGACCAUAAUUAAUUGGUAUAAAAUAGUACACAGCGACAAAUUUAAAUGUUAGUGGAUAAUGAUAAAAUGUUGUUAAAACUAAGAUUAUCUGUACAUACACAGUAUCUGCAUACUACACACACACACACACACACACACACG